UCAUAAUCUUAUGUGAUUGUAGUUUUUACUAAUGAAGAAUGUUUAAAGGUGUCAAAAAGCCGGGUGUUAGAGCCAAGCGGUCUCGUUUCACACCACCGAGACGGUCCACGAGUUCCUAUUAGGCUGGAAGACUCUAUUUUUGAAACAGUGUGUGAUCGUCCCCAUCUAGUGGCUCUAAAACAGAUUGAGAUAGCCCCCAAGUGGACAGUGGGAAGCCCUACCUGCAAACCUACUCUACAAACAGGCUGCUAAGCCCAGGAAGACAGAGAAAGAACACACAUCAGUACCACUCUCCUUGAAAUAUAAGGCCACAUGGGAAAUGCUGGCCUAUGGUGCGGGAGGAGGGUAGAUACCCAAACCAGGAUUAAAAAGCCAACCGACCCUAUUUACACGUAAGAUAUUGGUUCUCUCCUCUCUUCUUCCCACCCCACCCCAGGUUCUCACUGGGCUGCCUAGAACUCAGUAUAUAGACCAGACAUGCUCCAAUCACCACCUACAUGCCUGAAGCUGAAUUUGGAAUUCUCAGCCACUUUGGCACCUGCUCUAGAACAACUACGGUGAUAGGCAGAGAACAAGUCCCCACCCGCUUGUCUCCCAUCCCAGCCCUGCCACUCACUGAGGGGCAUGCAUAGCUCCAUGUAGACACCCUGGUUUCUAUCCAAGCUCUAGUCACACAUCCUGAUGCCCUUCAGAUGCCAGCACCCAGGUGCCCUUUGGACAAUCACAGUGUGUCCUGUGAAAAUGAACCCAGAGAAGUAGGACCUUGGUAUAUAAUGCAGACUGACCCCAAAUGCUUGCUCUUUCUACCACCGCCUCCCACAUGCUGGGAUUACAGGCCAGUCACAAGGUGCGUUGGGAAGACAACAUCCUGUUCUUGAGAAGCUUGAAUUGAUGGUCACACCUGAAACAUCAAAGGCUUUAGAAGCUGAAUCGGAUCCACUGUAUUCAUCUAACAACAUCCCCUUUGGCUUACCCAGAGGAGUCAUCAGUGGAAAGUUCUAAUGCAAUAGCCAUUUCAUGUAUGGCUCUAAGAAAGUGCCCCAUCCAAGAAAACAAGGGCAAUCUGUGCCCCUCCCCACCAUACCUUGGCCUGUUUCCACAUUCUUUAACUAUACUAGCUAACAAGCUGAGGAAUAUAACUGAAGUAUGUUCCUAAGUUCUGUGAGCCAUUCUGGCAAAUUAUCGACCCUGAGAAGGAAGUGGUGGGUGUCUCAAAUUGAACACAAAGAAGAUACCACACUUGCCUGCCUACUUCUUUGAUGUGUGCCUUUUUUCCCAAAGUCAACUUUUUCAUGUUAUUUCACAGUAAAAUCUGCUUCUCCUCUGACUCAGACAAACCAUUUCUGACCACAGUCUUCAUAUUUGAGUCCUACUGUUUCAAAACUCCUACCAAGGAUUGGUAGGUGGAUUUACAUAUGAG
rnacentral:lncRNA from 1 species